GUUAUAAAGAGGCCACAGAGGCUCUGCAACGAACGGUGGCCAAAAGUAUGUUCACAGCAUAUAGCCUGGCAACAACUCACCGCUCGAGCAUAAAAGAAUAUUGGUCAAGCGCCCUAGCGGAUAGACGUAAAGCCUGGUGAACACAAAGACGCUAACAUCCUGCAGAAAAGUUCAACAUGGCUGACAACACCGUACGGUCGGAAGAUGUGUAAGGACAAAAAUGGGAUCGUUGCAUUAUAGACACCGGUUUACUGUUAACUGUUGAGUUAUCGAUCCGGACAGAACUUAAGUGUGCACCACUGCAGUAUGAUGACAUUUAAGUUUUAUAGACUUUCAUGCAAUAGUUACUGUCACACAGCUCCGGACAUUGAAAGUGGAAGGACGGAGAACCACACAGAAACAAUAUCGGCGAAUGAUGAUGCAUAUUUGUUUUAAGUUUCGUGAAAUAGGUACUGUGAAACAGCUCCGGACGUACAACUUUCCUGAAUUUCAAUCUAUUA